UACUUAGGAAUCUACCUAGUAGUGGGGGAUAGCACGGGGAAACUCGUAUUAAUACCGCAUACGACCUACGGGAGAAAGGGGGCAGUUUACUGCUCUCGCUAUUAGAUGAGCCUAAGUCGGAUUAGCUAGAUGGUGGGGUAAAGGCCUACCAUGGCGACGAUCUGUAGCUGGUCUGAGAGGAUGAUCAGCCACACCGGGACUGAGACACGGCCCGGACUCCUACGGGAGGCAGCAGUGGGGAAUAUUGGACAAUGGGGGAAACCCUGAUCCAGCCAUGCCGCGUGUGUGAAGAAGGCCUUUUGGUUGUAAAGCACUUUAAGCAGUGAAGAAGACUCCGUGGUUAAUACCCACGGACGAUGACAUUAGCUGCAGAAUAAGCACCGGCUAACUCUGUGCCAGCAGCCGCGGUAAUACAGAGGGUGCAAGCGUUAAUCGGAAUUACUGGGCGUAAAGGGAGCGUAGGUGGCUCGAUAAGUCAGAUGUGAAAUCCCCGGGCUCAACCUGGGAACUGCAUCUGAUACUGUUGAGCUAGAGUAUGUGAGAGGAAGGUAGAAUUCCAGGUGUAGCGGUGAAAUGCGUAGAGAUCUGGAGGAAUACCGAUGGCGAAGGCAGCCUUCUGGCAUAAUACUGACACUGAGGCUCGAAAGCGUGGGUAGCAAACAGGAUUAGAUACCCUGGUAGUCCACGCCGUAAACGAUGUCUACUAGUCGUUGGGUCCCUUGAGGACUUAGUGACGCAGCUAACGCAAUAAGUAGACCGCCUGGGGAGUACGGCCGCAAGGUUAAAACUCAAAUGAAUUGACGGGGGCCCGCACAAGCGGUGGAGCAUGUGGUUUAAUUCGAUGCAACGCGAAGAACCUUACCUGGUCUUGACAUAUCUAGAAUCCUGCAGAGAUGCGGGAGUGCCUUCGGGAAUUAGAAUACAGGUGCUG
rnacentral:rRNA from 1 species